UACAGAGGGUGCAAGCGUUGUUCGGAAUUAUUGGGCGUAAAGGGCGUGUAGGCGGUUUGCUAAGUCAUGUGUGAAAUCCCCCGGCUUAACCUGGGAACUGCAUCUGAUACUGGAUGGCUUGAAUCCGGGAGAGGGAUGCAGAAUUCCAGGUGUAGCGGUGAAAUGCGUAGAUAUCUGGAGGAAUACCGGUGGCGAAGGCGGCAUCCUGGACCGGCAUUGACGCUGAUGAGCGAAAGCUAGGGGAGCAAACGGG
rnacentral:rRNA from 1 species